rnacentral:rRNA from 1 species
CAGCAGCCGCGGUAAUACGUAGGGCGCAAGCGUUGUUCGGAAUUAUUGGGCGUAAAGAGCUCGUAGGCGGUCUGUCGCGUCUGGUGUGAAAUCCCGAGGCUCAACCUCGGGCUUGCAUCGGGUACGGGCAGACUAGAGUGCGGUAGGGGAGACUGGAAUUCCUGGUGUAGCGGUGGAAUGCGCAGAUAUCAGGAGGAACACCGAUGGCGAAGGCAGGUCUCUGGGCCGCAACUGACGCUGAGGAGCGAAAGCAUGGGGAGCGAACAGGAUUAGAUACCCCUGUAGUCCCUGUCUCUUAUAC